CACGUAGUUAGCCGGGGCUUCUUGGUCAGGUACCGUCCGGCUGCCCCUUCCGGGGCAGUUUGUCUUCCCUGCUGAUAGAGCUUUACGCGCCGAAACGCUCCUUCACUCACGCGGCGUCGCUGCAUCAGGGUUUCCCCCAUUGUGCAAUAUCCCCCACUGCUGCCUCCCGUAGGAGUUUGGGCCGUGUCUCAGUCCCAAUGUGGCCGUCCACCCUCUCAGGCCGGCUACUGAUCGUCGCUUUGGUAGGCCGUUACCCUGCCAACUGGCUAAUCAGACGCGGGCCCAUCCCGUACCGCCCUCGCGGGCUUCCCGCACAUAGGCAUGCGCCUUUGUGCGCUCAUGCGGUAUUAGCACCUAUUUCUAAGUGUUAUCCCCCUGUACAGGGCAGGUUGCCCACGCGUUACUCACCCGUCCGCCACUAGGAUGGCACUUGUCUGGUCAUAGUAAACUACUCCCUCGCAUGUACCAUCCCCGUUCGACUUGCAUGUGUUAAGCACGCCGCCAGCGU
rnacentral:rRNA from 1 species